rnacentral:rRNA from 1 species
UUUCCGGUUGAUCCUGCCGGACCUGACUGCUAUCGGAUUGAUACUAAGCCAUGCGAGUCUUUGCAGUAAUGCAAGGCAUACGGCUCAGUAACACGUAGUCAACUUACCCUAUGGACGAGGAUAAUCUCGGGAAACUGAGCAUAAUACUCGAUAGAUCAUAAUGCCUGGAAUGGUUUAUGGUUGAAAUGAUUCGUCGCCAUAGGAUGGGACUGCGGCCUAUCAGCUUGUUGGUGAGGUAAUGGCCCACCAAGGCGAUUACAGGUACGGGCUCUGAGAGGAGAAGCCCGGAGAUGGGUACUGAGACAAGGACCCAGGCCCUAUGGGGCGCAGCAGGCGAGAAAACUUUGCAAUGUGCGAAAGCACGACAAGGUUAAUCCGAGUGAUUUCUGCUAAAGAAAUCUUUUGCAAGUCAUAAAACCACUAGUGAAUAAGGGGUGGGCAAGUUCUGGUGUCAGCCGCCGCGGUAAAACCAGCACCUCAAGUGGUCAGGAGGAUUAUUGGGCCUAAAGCAUCCGUAGCCGGCUCUGUAAGUUUUCGGUUAAAUCCAUGUGCUCAACGCAUGGGCUGCCGAAAAUACUGCAUAGCUAGGGAGUGGGAGAGGUAGACGGUACUCAGUA